rnacentral:rRNA from 1 species
AAAUUGAAGAGUUUGAUCAUGGCUCAGAUUGAACGCUGGCGGCAGGCCUAACACAUGCAAGUCGAGCGGUAGCACAGAGAGCUUGCUCUCGGGUGACGAGCGGCGGACGGGUGAGUAAUGUCUGGGAAACUGCCUGAUGGAGGGGGAUAACUACUGGAAACGGUAGCUAAUACCGCAUAACGUCGCAAGACCAAAGUGGGGGACCUUCGGGCCUCAUGCCAUCAGAUGUGCCCAGAUGGGAUUAGCUAGUAGGUGGGGUAACGGCUCACCUAGGCGACGAUCCCUAGCUGGUCUGAGAGGAUGACCAGCCACACUGGAACUGAGACACGGUCCAGACUCCUACGGGAGGCAGCAGUGGGGAAUAUUGCACAAUGGGCGCAAGCCUGAUGCAGCCAUGCCGCGUGUGUGAAGAAGGCCUUCGGGUUGUAAAGCACUUUCAGCGGGGAGGAAGGCGNNNNNNNNNNNNNNNNNNNNNNNNNNNNNNNNNNNNNNNNNNNNNNNNNNNNNNNNNNNAACCUGGGAACUGCAUUCGAAACUGGCAGGCUAGAGUCUUGUAGAGGGGGGUAGAAUUCCAGGUGUAGCGGUGAAAUGCGUAGAGAUCUGGAGGAAUACCGGUGGCGAAGGCGGCCCCCUGGACAAAGACUGACGCUCAGGUGCGAAAGCGUGGGGAGCAAACAGGAUUAGAUACCCUGGUAGUCCACGCCGUAAACGAUGUCGAUUUGGAGGUUGUGCCCUUGAGGCGUGGCUUCCGGAGCUAACGCGUUAAAUCGACCGCCUGGGGAGUACGGCCGCAAGGUUAAAACUCAAAUGAAUUGACGGGGGCCCGCACAAGCGGUGGAGCAUGUGGUUUAAUUCGAUGCAACGCGAAGAACCUUACCUGGUCUUGACAUCCACAGAACUUUCCAGAGAUGGAUUGGUGCCUUCGGGAACUGUGAGACAGGUGCUGCAUGGCUGUCGUCAGCUCGUGUUGUGAAAUGUUGGGUUAAGUCCCGCAACGAGCGCAACCCUUAUCCUUUGUUGCCAGCGGUCCGGCCGGGAACUCAAAGGAGACUGCCAGUGAUAAACUGGAGGAAGGUGGGGAUGACGUCAAGUCAUCAUGGCCCUUACGACCAGGGCUACACACGUGCUACAAUGGCAUAUACAAAGAGAAGCGACCUCGCGAGAGCAAGCGGACCUCAUAAAGUAUGUCGUAGUCCGGAUUGGAGUCUGCAACUCGACUCCAUGAAGUCGGAAUCGCUAGUAAUCGUAGAUCAGAAUGCUACGGUGAAUACGUUCCCGGGCCUUGUACACACCGCCCGUCACACCAUGGGAGUGGGUUGCAAAAGAAGUAGGUAGCUUAACCUUCGGGAGGGCGCUUACCACUUUGUGAUUCAUGACUGGGGUGAAGUCGUAACAAGGUAACCGUAGGGGAACCUGCGGUUGGAUCACCUCCUUACCUUAAAGAA